AUUGAACGCUGGCGGCAUGCCUUACACAUGCAAGUCGAACGGUAACGGGCCUUCGGGUGCCGAUGAGUGGCGAACGGGCGAGUAAUACACCGGAACGUGCCCGAUCGUGGGGGAUAAGGAGGCGAAAGCUUAGCUAAUACCGCACACGAUCUACGGAUGAAAGCAGUGGACCGCAAGGCCUAGCGCGGACGGAGCGGGCGAUGGCAGAUUAGGUAGUUGGUGGGAUAAAAGUUUACCAAGCCGACGAUCUGUAGCUGAUGUGAGAGGAUGAUCAGCCACACGGGGACUGAGACACGGCCAAGACUCCUACGGGAGGCAGCAGUGGGGAAUUUGAGGCAAUGGGCGCAAGCCUGACCCAGCCAGGCCGCGUGCAGGAUGAAGGCCUUCGGGUUGUAAACAGCUUUUGUACGGAACGAAAAGCCUUCUUUUAAUACAGGAGGGUCAUGACGGUACCGUAAAAAUAAGCACCGGCUAACUACGUG
rnacentral:rRNA from 1 species